rnacentral:rRNA from 1 species
CAUUACCGAGUUUACAACUCCCAAACCCAAUGUGAACGUUACCAAACUGUUGCCUCGGCGGGAUCUCUGCCCCGGGUGCGUCGCAGCCCCGGACCAAGGCGCCCGCCGGAGGACCAACCAAAACUCUUUUUGUAUACCCCCUCGCGGGUUUUUUAUAAUCUGAGCCUUCUCGGCGCCUCUCGUAGGCGUUUCGAAAAUGAAUCAAAACUUUCAACAACGGAUCUCUUGGUUCUGGCAUCGAUGAAGAACGCAGCGAAAUGCGAUAAGUAAUGUGAAUUGCAGAAUUCAGUGAAUCAUCGAAUCUUUGAACGCACAUUGCGCCCGCCAGUAUUCUGGCGGGCAUGCCUGUCCGAGCGUCAUUUCAACCCUCGAACCCCUCCGGGGGGUCGGCGUUGGGGAUCGGCCCUGCCUCUUGGCGGUGGCCGUCUCCGAAAUACAGUGGCGGUCUCGCCGCAGCCUCUCCUGCGCAGUAGUUUGCACACUCGCAUCGGGAGCGCGGCGCGUCCACAGCCGUUAAACACCCAACUUCUGAAAUGUUGACCUCGGAUCAGGUAGGAAUACCCGCUGAACUUAAGCAUA